rnacentral:rRNA from 1 species
AACGAACGCUGGCGGCAUGCCUAACACAUGCAAGUCGAACGAGACCUUCGGGUCUAGUGGUGCACGGGUGCGUAACGCGUGGGAACCUGCCCUUAGGUUCGGAAUAACUCCCCGAAAGGGGUGCUAAUACCGGAUAAUGUCUUCGGACCAAAGAUUUAUCGCCUUUGGAUGGGCCCGCGUUGGAUUAGCUAGUUGGUAGGGUAAAAGCCUACCAAGGCGACGAUCCAUAGCUGGUCUGAGAGGAUGAUCAGCCACACUGGGGCUGAGACACGGCCCAGACUCCUACGGGAGGCAGCAGUGGGGAAUAUUGGACAAUGGGCGAAAGCCUGAUCCAGCAAUGCCGCGUGAGUGAUGAAGGCCUUAGGGUUGUAAAGCUCUUUUACCCGGGAUGAUAAUGACAGUACCGGGAGAAUAAGCUCCGGCUAACUCCGUG